ensembl:lncRNA
UUUUCCUUUCGAGAGAAAUACGGUAUGUGUUUACAAGAAUCUUUUCUGGGAUUGUAGAUUUCAGUACCGCUGGCUAGCAGCAUAUCCUCCAGCACAUAGGUCCGUUCUGGAAAGGUCUUCCCUCCACGUCAGUUGAGUUACCUCCUAGAAGCACAAGCGUGAAGGCGAUCGGAGGAGCCUUUGAGAGGCAGGUUCUUGACCUUCAGGCUUGACCCAGAAAGUGUACUUCAGAUUCCUCUCCAGCCAUCACCUCAACUCAAACCCAACCCUUCCUAACAGCAGUUGCUAUCUCAGUCACCGGUCCCUGCAGGUGUUAAGAACCAAAAGAACAAACACUAGGAUCUGAACGUAGAGUGUUUUGUGUCAGUUUUGAAGCACGUAGCGAUAGAACCAGAGCCCCUAGGGACAGGAGCCCCACUACUGUGGGCUGGACGUGGCUUCUAUAGGUUCAGUUCCCCUACUCUCUCAUAGGCUAACGCUAGAUGAGAAUCUGUAGCCAUCCUCAGCGGGUGAGAGCAACAGUAACCUUCAGUGGCUUCAUUUCCUGUCCUGUUGACAGAGACCCUCGGGUACCACUGUGCUGCUAAUAGGGCCAGGCCUCUGUUCCCCGAUGACCUCGCCUUUGUACAGAACCAAGUCCACGCACCCAGCACCUCUGGGUUCUUAACUGCUUUCUCUCGUCAAGCGUGCUGGUAUUCUAGACAGAACUUUUGGCAGGCAUGGAGGUGUUUUAAGAUUUUUUUUUUUUACUUAAAAUGUCUUUGUCGACCGGAAGGACUUUUAGAUUCUGGGAUCAUGAGACACCUGCCAGAAGGUGGCUCUCGACGGCUCGUGCUGCUGUGCCUUCGUCAUUGGCUUCUGAUUCAACCAGAAAUAACUGAUAAUGUGAAUCUUUGUCGAUCCCUCAGUUGUAGGUAAACCGUAUUCCCCACUGUUAGGUGAAAUCUGCCCUGUGCAAAGCCCUGCGUGUAGAGAUAACCCAGGAAGUCGGGAACGUGUGGCAGUGCGUGUUUUCAGAAAGUUUUAUUUUUUAGAAUGCAGAAGGAAGUUUUCUUUGUGGCUUGAUCUUCCGUCUAGUAUCUGUCUAAUAGGUUAACCGAUGCCGAGAGCUUCGUAGCGAUGCCUACCAAAGACAUGCGUAGUAAACCUUCUAUUUCCAAAUUAUUCAAGAGCCAGCCGUUGAUGCUGCUUCACGGUUCUUUCUCAGGAGCCAUCGUGAGAGACUGAAACAUGCUUACGAGCUUUUUUUUUUGUUUGUUUGUUCUAAGUUUUAGGUCUUUUUUUUUUUUUUAAAUUUUUGAUUAAAAUGUGUUAGCCUAACAUGUUGGGGAGCAUUUCCCAGAAUGCUCGGCAGUUGUGAGUACUGGCCACACCCCAGGUCACCUCUUGCGGAGUGAUCGGUGGGGUCCUCUGUGCAUGCUAGCAAGGGUGCUGUGCGCGUGUGCGUGUACGUGUGUGCAUUCAUGCCUUAACUUGGGUUACCGCUCAGCUUUGCUGUCUGACCUGGUCCUCGCCAUCAUCAGAUUGCAUCGUGCAACUUGAUCUGAACUUCAUUCUGGUUAAAAAAAAAGAGAGAGAGAUAAAAAAACAGAAAAGCAAGGUUGCAGGCAGCACAGGCUGGAGUGCAUUCCUUUGGAAGAAUGUCUGCUCGGACGGACCCUGAGAUGUCUCCACAGACUUUAUUUGGGACUUAGUUUGGGAAGAAAGCCGACUGUUGAUUGGGCAGAUGUCGACAAGGACGAGGGGGAGAGCCGGAAUGCUAGCACGCCCUCUGCCUCCACAUAACUCGUGUGCUCUGUGUGUUGUCUGGGUAGCUUGUCUGCGGCUUAACUAGCUUGGAGUUCAGGUAACGGUGGCAAUCCCGACAUUCAUCUGUUGGAGUUUAGAGAGAUGUAAGAUGUCCAGUUACUGUCUUAUUUACUUUAUGUUGAUCAGUCUUUAAUACAUGUGCUGAAUCAGAAAAACC